AAAGCUGAGGAAAGCAUGGCAACUGACCACCCAGUAUCAUCAGCUAGUGUAGGCAAGAGUGUUGGAUCUUCAUCUGCUUCUGUUUCUGACAGUGGUCGUCGUGAGGGGAUUGAAGGAGGGUACUGACAGUGACAUUAAUUUUGCACAGAUGUAGUUGGAUUACAAAAUAGGCUGAGAAAAGUGCUUGUGGUAAGGGAGGCAGAUACAAAGAUGAGAAAACUUUUAGCAACUGCUGCAAACUUAGAGCUGAAUUAUCAUGAGGAAGCCAGCUUUAGCUUCCUAGUUUUAUUGCUUUUCCUGACAAUUCUCAGAUUAUAUGAGUUGUGCAAGGUUGGCAAAAUGUAAAUUGUGCAUGUGAAAGAUUACUGCUAUCUUACAAAAUAUUCCUUUACAAAAAUAAAAAAUAAAAAAUUACUGCUUCAAAAGUAGAAGUUUUUGGCCUGAGUGGCAUGAAAGAAGAUGAGGGAUCUCUCUCUGUCUCUACUCUUCUUUUUGUUUGUAAGAAAGAAGAUAAAUUCUUCUUAAUUUUUAU
rnacentral:lncRNA from 1 species